CGAACGCUGGCGGCGUGCUUAACACAUGCAAGUCGAACGGAAAGGCCCUGCUUUUGUGGGGUGCUCGAGUGGCGAACGGGUGAGUAACACGUGAGUAACCUGCCCUUGACUUUGGGAUAACUUCAGGAAACUGGGGCUAAUACCGGAUAGGAGCUCCUGCUGCAUGGUGGGGGUUGGAAAGUUUCGGCGGUUGGGGAUGGACUCGCGGCUUAUCAGCUUGUUGGUGGGGUAGUGGCUUACCAAGGCUUUGACGGGUAGCCGGCCUGAGAGGGUGACCGGCCACAUUGGGACUGAGAUACGGCCCAGACUCCUACGGGAGGCAGCAGUGGGGAAUAUUGCACAAUGGGCGGAAGCCUGAUGCAGCAACGCCGCGUGCGGGAUGACGGCCUUCGGGUUGUAAACCGCUUUCGCCUGUGACGAAGCGUGAGUGACGGUAAUGGGUAAAGAAGCACCGGCUAACUACAUG
rnacentral:rRNA from 1 species